GAUGAACGCUGGCGGCGUGCCUAAUACAUGCAAGUAGAACGCUGAAGCUUGGUGCUUGCACCGAGCGGAUGAGUUGCGAACGGGUGAGUAACGCGUAGGUAACCUACCUCUUAGCGGGGGAUAACUAUUGGAAACGAUAGCUAAUACCGCAUAAAAGUCGACAUUGCAUGAUGUUGACUUGAAAGGUGCAACUGCAUCACUAAGAGAUGGACCUGCGUUGUAUUAGCUAGUUGGUGAGGUAACGGCUCACCAAGGCGACGAUACAUAGCCGACCUGAGAGGGUGAUCGGCCACACUGGGACUGAGACACGGCCCAGACUCCUACGGGAGGCAGCAGUAGGGAAUCUUCGGCAAUGGACGGAAGUCUGACCGAGCAACGCCGCGUGAGUGAAGAAGGUUUUCGGAUCGUAAAGCUCUGUUGUAAGAGAAGAACGAGUGUGAGAGUGGAAAGUUCACACUGUGACGGUGACUU
rnacentral:rRNA from 1 species